AUAUCAAUAAGCGGAGGGAAAGAAACUAACAAGGAUUUCCCUAAUAACGGCGAGUGAAACGGGGAGAGCUCAAAUUUUAAAUCUCGCGGUCUCAGGCGGUUCGAGUUGUUAUUUAGAGAAGUUGUUUUCGUUACCGGCCGUGUUAAAAUUCCUUGGAACAAGGCGUCAUAGAAGGUGAGAAUUCCGUUCAUGACACGGAAUACCAGUGGUUUGUGAUAACACUUCAAAGAGUCGAGUUGUUUGGGAAUGCAACUCAAAAUGGGUGGUGAAUUCCAUCUAAAACUAAAUAUAGGCGAGAGACCGAUAGCGAACAAGUACCGUGAGGGAAAGAUGAAAAGAACUUUGGAAAGAGAGUUAAACAGUACGUGAAGUUGUUGAGAAGGGAAACGCUUGAAGUCAGUCGCGUCUGCUGGGACUCAACCUUGCUUUUGCCUGGUGUACUUCUCAGUAGAUGGGCCAGCAUCAAUUUCGGGUGCCGGAAAAGGAUUUGAGGAAUGUGACAGCUUGCUGUGUUAAAACCUCUUGUCGCACACGGCGCUUGGGAUUGAGGACUGCAGCACGCCUUUUGGUUGGGGUUCUCCCACGCGCACAGUGCUUAGGAUGCUGGCGUAAUGGCUUUAAACGA
rnacentral:rRNA from 1 species